rnacentral:rRNA from 1 species
UACAGAGGGUGCGAGCGUUAAUCGGAAUUACUGGGCGUAAAGGGCGCGUAGGCGGCCUGCUAAGUCGAACGUGAAAUCCCCGGGCUCAACCCGGGAACUGCGUCCGAUACUGGCAGGCUUGAAUCCGGGAGAGGGAUGUGGAAUUCCAGGUGUAGCGGUGAAAUGCGUAGAUAUCUGGAGGAACACCGGUGGCGAAGGCGGCAUCCUGGACCGGCAUUGACGCUGAGGCGCGAAAGCCAGGGGAGCAAACGGG